UUCAAGUUCCCUCUAUCCCCA
rnacentral:tRNA from 1 species